ensembl:lncRNA
CCAUUCUUCCACUUUAUUCUGCCGCAUUCUAGGGCCACACACUGUCCCACCGCAAGAGAUGCUCAAACAGGCUUUUAAGGCUCCGACCCGUGAACACUGAACGGUGCCUUGCCUUCUCUGGGGGGGGGUUUACACGGGUACAAGAUCAGGACAUGAAAAAGGGGGCAGAGGUCGUUUUCUGGACAAGAUCGCCGGCGGACCCGUUUUAGUAGGGCUAAGAGCAAGGUUCUUUUCGAGGCAGCGCUAGUCCUGGGACCGACGGAGCUGUGGUCUGCAAUCAUCGGACCCUGAAGAGAACAAGGCGAUCGCGCUCUCUCUCUCUCCUUGUCGGUUGGCCGCGGCGCCAAUGUGCUGCGAAAAGGCGCAAUUUGGUGCCUAGGUUUCGGCGAUCGCCGGGGCUGAGUCUAAACCCAGGAGCGGCGGCGGCGGCGGCGGCGGGCCGAGGGGAUGGAAAAGGAGGGGAGAAGGCUGGUCUCUCCCUUGUUGCCAGGCCGGAGGGGGCCAAGGCGAAGUUCCUACCUGUGUAUACUAGAGGCUUAUCCCUCUAGUAAUUUUUUUAACGCCCGACUGGAGGCUGCCUGCCGCCGGGCUCCCCCUCGCAGAGCGUGGCCCCGAUCGCCGAGGCCGGAGCAAGCCAGCAAGCUCGCCAUGCCGAACCCCGGCGCAGGCGGAAGCCACGGCGGCCGGCAAGCCUGCGGCAGCCUCUGCCCCAACCGGGUGCAAGAUCUGGCCGAGAGGUUGGGGAGGAAGGCGGCCAGAGCACAGAAGAAGGAACCACGGAAGAUCCAACCCAGAAGCAACCCAAUUGCCAUCUACAACGACCCCUCUCCGGAGUCUGUAGAUGUCGGUGAGUUUGCACUGAGAUCUGCUCCAGUUCCGGGCUUUUAAAAAGUUAAUUACCUCUUAACGACGUCCCUUUGUUAAGACAAUCCUCGCUCAUUCUACCGGAGCAAGUAAUCUAUGGCCCUCCAGGUGUUGAUAGACUCCAACUCCCCUUAGUUCAAGGUCAGAGAUGAUGAGAGGUAGUCCGGCUAUAUGUACAGUAGGCAUCGCCCCUGACAAAUAUAUCCCCAGUACUGUAUAUCUAAAUCAGCACGUUUUCUCUGCCCUCCUUCUCGAAAAGACGUGAAAAUCUAUUCUACUUUUGAGCCGGCUUGCUUCUGAGUAUCCAACGCCCUGUCUUUUCCCCUUUGCAGCGUUGGCUACCAUCGACUGGCAAGACUUAGCCGAUUGCACCUCUGCCGUUCAGCAGGUUUCUAAAGUCACGACAACCCAGCAGGUAAUUGACUUGCGCCCAAAAGGGACGCGGCGUUAGUCAAGCAGUUUACCCGUGAUUCUUUUUAAGGGAAACAUCAAGUGAUUCGGAUCGGGGCUGUGGUGCAAGGAAAGGAGAGCUUUAACCCAUUGUCCCCCUGUGGUCUCGAUUCGGAUGCCACCCCCUCCCUUGACUAUUUGAUGCGACAUCGGCGCUUAACUCGCAUGUGCAUUGCAUUCACACGAACGAAGGCGAAUCUUCUCUAAAUCACCCCUACAGAGAUUUAUUUCGGAAGAAGCACGUCAUUUCUUCGAUUAACGUGUGAACGGAGCUGUGGAAAAAUACCAUGGUGGGCCGGAAUCUUUCUGCUAGGAUCCACUACUGCUAGGAUUGUGAAGAACACGUGAGCUCCAGAACCUGUCGUUCUGAAUAAUCCUCAUCAAAAACAGCGUUGCUUCAGAGUGUGAGCAAUAAGGAUUGGGGUGGGAGGAAAGGCUUAAACAAUAGUU